rnacentral:tRNA from 1 species
UGGGGAAUUAGCUCAGCUGGGAGAGCGUCUGGUUUGCAACCAGAAGGUCGCGGGUUCAAACCCCGCAUUCUCCAA